rnacentral:rRNA from 1 species
AAUAUUGCACAAUGGGGGAAACCCUGAUGCAGCGACGCCGCGUGAAGGAAGAAGUAUCUCGGUAUGUAAACUUCUAUCAGCAGGGAAGAAAAUGACGGUACCUGACUAAGAAGCCCCGGCUAACUACGUGCCAGCAGCCGCGGUAAUACGUAGGGGGCAAGCGUUAUCCGGAUUUACUGGGUGUAAAGGGAGCGUAGACGGAAGGGCAAGUCUGGAGUGAAAGCCCGGGGCUCAACCCCGGGACUGCUUUGGAAACUGUCCGUCUUGAGUGCCGGAGAGGUAAGCGGAAUUCCUAGUGUAGCGGUGAAAUGCGUAGAUAUUAGGAGGAACACCAGUGGCGAAGGCGGCUUACUGGACGGUAACUGACGUUGAGGCUCGAAAGCGUGGGGAGCAAACAG